UAAAGGGAGAAGGCUCAGAGUCCGCUGAGCAGUAUUGAAUGAUAUGCUGAAAGGCGCCCUUGCUGCCAGGUGGCUAUAAGAUGAAUGGGCCCAAGUACAUACUGAGACGGGACAGGAAGCAUAGUGGCAUGGCGCUGCGAAGUGAAGAACAAUGAUGGGAAAUGUUCCGGUGAAAACAUGUGCACCAGUGGUGAAAGAUGGAGGAAAGAAGCAAGGAAAGAAAUUGAGAAACAAAAUAAAAAUGUAAACUGACCUAAGGUGCAUUUAGGGCCCCCUACCAGACUGGAGUGUGGUCUUCAAUGAUCUCAGAGGAAAAUGAAUAAUACAUACCUCAAUGACUCCUGUGGGAUUCUGCCUGUUUACCGAACCUGGAUCUGCUUUAUGACACCCACCUGGAAUUUCCUUUGGUACAUGUUUGGACCUCUGAUCUCCUGACCCAGACUCGUGUGAACCUCCUCGACACCGGCUCUGGCUUUCCUCUUUGGUCAGAGCUCAAACCUCUCCUCUUAUGGACCCUCACUUUACUCACUACUUUUGCUGCCUUUGACAGGUUUGAGUCUGUAAACCUUUAUUUAUAAUGUUCAGAGUACUUUUCUAAUUUGACACAUGCCCAUGUUAAUAUACCUAAAGCUCAGGUGUAUAAAGUGUCGACUGCUGAGCCGCUGACUGGACCGGAUGUCAGUAGAGAGCCAUGAGCCGUCCCUCCUCAGCCGGAGGAGGGGGGCUGGGGGCCGGUAAGGCAGACAGGGCGAAGCAUGGGGCUGCCUGUGUCCAGGAUACCGUCACUGGGUGUGGUUUGGUCGCUCUGUCCCCCACUGGCUCCCUGUCCUCUUCCGCCGGGGCUUCCCAGACCAGCCCCGGAGCUCACGGCUCGGUUCGAAUGCCCGGUGUGUUUCGACUUUGUGCAGCAAUGUAGUCGACCAAAAUCCCGGACGAUUUUGAAAUUCCCCCUGGACAUUUUUUGAGGUAUGAAAAGUAGGACACAUCCGGGAAAAUGAGGAAGUCUGGUCACCCUACCAUAUCAACAAUUUCGAUGUUUCAGUGAGUGAGUGCUUGUUGCUAUGAUGCAUCUUUG